GGGUUGUGAGGUUAAGCGACUAAGCGUACACGGUGGAUGCCCUGGCAGUCAGAGGCGAUGAAGGGCGUGCUAAUCUGCGAUAAGCGCCGGUAAGGUGAUAUGAACCGUUAUAACCGGCGAUACCCGAAUGGGGAAACCCAGUGUGAUUCGUCACACUAUCAUUAACUGAAUCCAUAGGUUAAUGAGGCGAACCGGGGGAACUGAAACAUCUAAGUACCCCGAGGAAAAGAAAUCAACCGAGAUUCCCCCAGUAGCGGCGAGCGAACGGGGAGGAGCCCAGAGCCUGAAUCAGCAUGUGUGUUAGUGGAAGCGUCUGGAAAGGCGCGCGAUACAGGGUGACAGCCCCGUACACAAAAGCGCAUGUGCUGUGAGCUCGAUGAGUAGGGCGGGACACGUGGUAUCCUGUCUGAAUAUGGGGGGACCAUCCUCCAAGGCUAAAUACUCCUGACUGACCGAUAGUGAACCAGUACCGUGAGGGAAAGGCGAAAAGAACCCCGGCGAGGGGAGUGAAAAAGAACCUGAAACCGUGUACGUACAAGCAGUGGGAGCNNNNNNNNNNNNNNNNNNNNNNNNNNNNNNNNNNNNNNNNNNNNNNNNNNNNNNNNNGGGCGUUAAGUUGCAGGGUAUAGACCCGAAACCCGGUGAUCUAGCCAUGGGCAGGUUGAAGGUUGGGUAACACUAACUGGAGGACCGAACCGACUAAUGUUGAAAAAUUAGCGGAUGACCUGUGGCUGGGGGUGAAAGGCCAAUCAAACCGGGAGAUAGCUGGUUCUCCCCGAAAGCUAUUUAGGUAGCGCCUCGUGAAUUCAUCUCCGGGGGUAGAGCACUGUUUCGGCUAGGGGGCCAUCCCGGCUUACCAACCCGAUGCAAACUGCGAAUACCGGAGAAUGUUAUCACGGGAGACACACGGCGGGUGCUAACGUCCGUCGUGAAGAGGGAAACAACCCAGACCGCCAGCUAAGGUCCCAAAGUCAUGGUUAAGUGGGAAACGAUGUGGGAAGGCCCAGACAGCCAGGAUGUUGGCUUAGAAGCAGCCAUCAUUUAAAGAAAGCGUAAUAGCUCACUGGUCGAGUCGGCCUGCGCGGAAGAUGUAACGGGGCUAAACCAUGCACCGAAGCUGCGGCAGCGACACUGUGUGUUGUUGGGUAGGGGAGCGUUCUGUAAGCCUGCGAAGGUGGCCUGUGAGGGUUGCUGGAGGUAUCAGAAGUGCGAAUGCUGACAUAAGUAACGAUAAAGCGGGUGAAAAGCCCGCUCGCCGGAAGACCAAGGGUUCCUGUCCAACGUUAAUCGGGGCAGGGUGAGUCGACCCCUAAGGCGAGGCCGAAAGGCGUAGUCGAUGGGAAACGGGUUAAUAUUCCCGUACUUGGUGUUACUGCGAAGGGGGGACGGAGAAGGCUAUGUUGGCCGGGCGACGGUUGUCCCGGUUUAAGCGUGUAGGUGUGUGUUCCAGGUAAAUCCGGUUCACUUUAACACUGAGGCGUGACGACGAGGCACUACGGUGCUGAAGCAACAAAUGCCCUGCUUCCAGGAAAAGCCUCUAAGCAUCAGGUAACAUCAAAUCGUACCCCAAACCGACACAGGUGGUCAGGUAGAGAAUACCAAGGCGCUUGAGAGAACUCGGGUGAAGGAACUAGGCAAAAUGGUGCCGUAACUUCGGGAGAAGGCACGCUGACACGUAGGUGAAGUGAUUUACUCAUGGAGCUGAAGUCAGUCGAAGAUACCAGCUGGCUGCAACUGUUUAUUAAAAACACAGCACUGUGCAAACACGAAAGUGGACGUAUACGGUGUGACGCCUGCCCGGUGCCGGAAGGUUAAUUGAUGGGGUCAGCGCAAGCGAAGCUCCUGAUCGAAGCCCCGGUAAACGGCGGCCGUAACUAUAACGGUCCUAAGGUAGCGAAAUUCCUUGUCGGGUAAGUUCCGACCUGCACGAAUGGCGUAAUGAUGGCCAGGCUGUCUCCACCCGAGACUCAGUGAAAUUGAACUCGCUGUGAAGAUGCAGUGUACCCGCGGCAAGACGGAAAGACCCCGUGAACCUUUACUAUAGCUUGACACUGAACAUUGAGCCUUGAUGUGUAGGAUAGGUGGGAGGCUUUGAAGUGUGGACGCCAGUCUGCAUGGAGCCGACCUUGAAAUACCACCCUUUAAUGUUUGAUGUUCUAACGUGGACCCGUUACCCGGGUUGCGGACAGUGUCUGGUGGGUAGUUUGACUGGGGCGGUCUCCUCCUAAAGAGUAACGGAGGAGCACGAAGGUUGGCUAAUCCUGGUCGGACAUCAGGAGGUUAGUGCAAUGGCAUAAGCCAGCUUGACUGCGAGCGUGACGGCGCGAGCAGGUGCGAAAGCAGGUCAUAGUGAUCCGGUGGUUCUGAAUGGAAGGGCCAUCGCUCAACGGAUAAAAGGUACUCCGGGGAUAACAGGCUGAUACCGCCCAAGAGUUCAUAUCGACGGCGGUGUUUGGCACCUCGAUGUCGGCUCAUCACAUCCUGGGGCUGAAGUAGGUCCCAAGGGUAUGGCUGUUCGCCAUUUAAAGUGGUACGCGAGCUGGGUUUAGAACGUCGUGAGACAGUUCGGUCCCUAUCUGCCGUGGGCGCUGGAGAACUGAGGGGGGCUGCUCCUAGUACGAGAGGACCGGAGUGGACGCAUCACUGGUGUUCGGGUUGUCAUGCCAAUGGCACUGCCCGGUAGCUAAAUGCGGAAGAGAUAAGUGCUGAAAGCAUCUAAGCACGAAACUUGCCCCGAGAUGAGUUCUCCCUGAGACUUAGAGUCUCCUGAAGGAACGUUGAAGACGACGACGUUGAUAGGCCGGGUGUGUAAGCGCAGCGAUGCGUUGAGCUAACCGGUACUAAUGAACCGUGAGGCUUAACCUUACAACGCCGAAG
rnacentral:rRNA from 1 species